AUUUAGCUGACGAGUCCCAAACAGGACGAAACGCGCGUCCUGGAU
rnacentral:hammerhead_ribozyme from 1 species